ensembl:lncRNA
ACGGGAGAGAGGGAGCGGGGAGGAGGGAGCAGUGUAUGUAGGGAGCAAGGGAGUAGGGAGCAAGGGAGGUAGGGAGCGGGGAGGAGGGAGCAGUGGAGGUAGGGAGCACGGGAGGUAGGGAGCAGUGGAGGUAGGGAGCACAGGAGGUAGGGAGCACGGGAGAUAGGGAGCAGUGGAGGUAGGGAGCAGUGGAGGUAGGGAGCACGGGAGGUAGGGAGCACGGGAGAUAGGGAGCAGUGGAGGUAGGGAGCACGGGAGGAAGGGAGCAGUGGAGGUAGGGAGCAGUGGAGGUAGGGAGCACGGGAGGUAGGGAGCAAGGGAGGUAGGGAGCACAGGAGGUAGGGAGCGGGAUGGAG